rnacentral:lncRNA from 1 species
UAGGGGUGGAAAUGAAAAGAAAGAACGAAAUUGUAAUAAUUUGUUGUAACUUGAUUGUAUUCGGAAGUUGAAUGUAAUACAAAUGUAAAAAUUGAGAUGAAUGCUUGUACUAGCUUAGUAUUUAUGUUUUCGAUACCUUUCUUAUGCAAUCUAUGUUUAAAUUCUGUUCCUGGUUGGAACUUCGCGAAUUGUAUGGAUUGUGAUGCCUAGGACGUACAAGGGAGACUCUGUCCGUUCGGCGGUCUAUCGGCGUGCCCGAAUCCGA